GAGGCUGUCAGGCCAGCCCAGAGCUGGCUUAGUGCACAGCCGCAGUGCUGCUGCGUCGCUGGUGGCCCUUCUCUCUCUCCUGUCCAUGGAGUGUGUGGCCCAGCAGCUGGCCUGGAGGCCCUCUGUGGUGCACCCUCAUGGAGCUUCUGUUUUGGGAGAGGGCUCUGUGGGGCCCUGCCAUUGUGGUGGUGAUUGCGGAGGUGGUGAUCGCUUGUCUCUGCAAGGCACCCCAAAACCUGGCUCCUGAGGCACAGAGUUUCACUCCACCAUUAAUUGCAUCUAUUAUUCAGUAUUACUUUAGCAUAUUUAUUUAAAGCUUUCCUCCCCCGUUUUUGCCUCUCCGGAGACUUGCUGCUAAUGUCUGCUAAAUUUAGCUAUCAUCUGAAUAAAGCUUAUUCAAUUAUAGCCAACGCUGGCAGUAACAAACUGGUACUGGAGGAGAAAGAGGUUUAUUCUCCCUCAGAUAGUGUCCCAUGGGGAAAGAGCAGUACAAGCAGCGCUCGUUGUUUCGCAUGGCAAUGAUCUCUAGUGGUGGCUGAUAGUUAAACUGUGGUUCAUUAACAGGCAUCCAUUCUCUGCAGGUUGUUCUCCAGCCCCUGCAGAUGUCACCUCAGUGCCAAUCUUUUUAUUGUUAGUUCUCUUUGGAAUCUCUCGUUGGAUGGUUCUUGGCAUCCUGUGUCAGUUUUUGUCAUUGUGAUCGUGCUAAUGCAUCUUUCUGGACAAGACUGACUUGGUGCUCAUUCCUGGGAAAUAUUAACCGUUUACUUCCUAUUCAGCACGUCACUUCUCAUUUGUGUUUUUCCUCUUAAAGAAAUCCAAACUUCUUUUUUGGAUUAAUUUGGGUGGGCAAUUGCUGGGUGUGUAGCACAGAAUUCUUCUUCAUUUUUUUAUCUUCUACUAAGCUAGCAAAGGCUGAGGCUGCUCAGCUCCUUGUUCUGUGCCACGUUUGUCCCUGCAGUCAUGCAAGUUAGCAAAUUUGUGAGGAGGACUUUGUAUUUUUGAAAAGCAGAAGGUGAACAAGAAGUGAUUUAAUAGCCUAUUGCUGAAAUAAAAGCAUUCUAGCCUCCGACAUAUUUGUCCUUACUUGUAUGUUCAGCAUAUAUUUUGGUCAGAUAAAGGAUAGCUGCCAGUGAUAUUACUGUGGGGAAAGCAUUUCCAAUUAUACCUUAUCUGUCAAACAUUCUCUUUUAGCCCCUAAAUUCAGAACCUGAAUUAUGGGUUCUUUGUAAGCUGUUUGUAGCCAUAUAUCACAUGGUAUAGCUUUUUCUGCUAGUUAAACGUGGCAUUUACAUCACUUUAGUUAUCAGGCUCACCUGAUACAUCAUCACACCUGUUUAAUGUCAAAACAGGGUAACCUUAUAAAUGUCUUAUGAAGCCUCCUAAUGCAAAAACAUAAUUACCAACACUGCUAAACAUGUUCAGAUUUAACGAAUCAGUACAUUAAAGGCUGCACUGGUUUAUUAUCUCAUUAUUGGAAAAUAUAUGCCCUUUUCUACCUCAAAAGUAAGCCAUUGCAAAUACUAUUGUAUUUCUGUUUCUGUUGCACCAAUUAAUAAUGCUGUCAAUUAUGUAGGUCUCUGAGAAAAUCUGAGUCCCUUCUUAUUAAAAAUCUUUGGUAGCAAUAAACUUUAAUACAGGCAACCCCUCAUUUGACCAGCAAGGUUGAGUGCAAACCUGCUAUGAUUUUAGUCUGCAAUUACCUGCAGAAUAAAAUUUAACAAGCACACGGGGUCAUUUUGCUGAAGAGGGAAGGCAAGAUAUUUUCUUCACGUGCAUUCGCAGUCUCGUGCACUGGAUUCUGGUCAGGCUCUUGAGCUAGUUAGUGCACUAAGAAGUUAAAUAGGCACAUGCUUGUUGGUGAAACUCAUACCCCGGGUUUAGAUCUGUUGUUGCCCUAGAACUGCACAAAGAUCACCAUCUGACAUGAGCCAUGGAUUUUUUAACGCUUUGUGCAACCACAUAGCUAUUAUUAAUACAUUAUAUUUCUUCCACUUCUUUUAACAGGAUCUGGCAGCCUUUCUCAGGGGAUGAUCAUUAGUGUUUCUCCUGACUGCAUUCUGGCCUCAGCUAUGCUUGGUCUUUGCAGACACGGUGAUAACAGCGUUUGUCAUGUCUCUGGGUGACUUUGGAGCUUCUGUGGGUUUGUCACUCUCACAGUGAGGAUAAGUUCCUUUUUUCAUCACGGUCUAUACACUUAACUCUCACUUUCUUUUACCUGAAUCACUGUUGAGAGCAGAUGAGCAGCCCCAGAAAACAGCUUUUUUUCCUGACUGCUUCUGGAUUUGGGGGCUCAAACAGGAGUCUCAGCUUGAAGGACUAUUCUGAAGAAUGUUAGAAAACAGAAGCUGGGAGCUGCAAUAGAAAGAACCAUGGAUCACUGCCUGCCCUGUACUUCAAGAACACAGGAACCUUUGUCCUUUAACUGUGUGACAUGUCUUUGAAAAGUGAUUUGACUUUCUGGCCUGCUGAGUUUGAACAAGUGCUGGACAAUGCCUUGAUUCAUAUCCCUGCAUGGGUCACUGAGAAACCGUCUCUGCAUUGCACAGCUUCUGCAAAUAAUAUUGGCUCAAGCUGGGACUAAAUCAGCUUCCCACUGGACUAGAUGCUGUAGUAAGAAAUGAACUCUGCCUCCAAAUGAGACAAAGUUAUUAUCCUCCUAUAUAGAUGAGAUAACAAGGCAUAAAGAUUAAGCAACUCACAAAAUAUCUGAGACAGGAUGUGUUCAGGCUAGCUCUGAAUGACAGUGCGGGGCCUUAACCCCAGACAUACCCUUUUUUCUCCUUGUUCUGCUUUUUGGCUCCAAAUGGGAAGAUAGUACCUUUGCUGAAGCUCGAAGAGCCACCUUUGUAGGCAGUAGUAGUAUUUUUAAGAACAUAAAUGUUAAAUUUGGAAAAAAAAAACAACCAUAAAUCCUCAGGGCCUAGAUUACCAGAAGAAAGCAUUUUGUUAGUGACUCUUGCAUGCCAAUAAAGAGUUGGCAUCACAAUAUUUUUUUGUGGUCAGAAAUAAUGGAAUUUUAUAUCAAGAAAGGGAGGAAGUAGUAGAAGGAUCCUGAACUUUCGUGUCACCUUCGGCUUUCAACUUAACUCUUUACUUCUCUCUUAUGUUGUUUGAUAUGCCCUUCCUAUCUUUCUUUUCUGUUUUAUUCAGAGCUACAGAUUUUCUGUGCCAGAAUCUGUGAAAUUCAUCCCCCAAAAUACUUCCCUGUGGAGUGCAGAGCAAAUGGAUAGAAACUGAAACAGGGAUUUUGAAGCAAGAUAUGGUGUGUAACACAGAUUCUUUAACUAGAGAGAUUUGUAAAAAGGCUGUAGCUCAUGAUUUAGUAAAUAUUGUAGCCUUUGGUAACACAAAGUCUAGCAGUUUCUUCUGGGAAGGAUGUAUUUUAUCCAUGAUUACAGUGGAAGUAAUGAUCUCUCAUGUAAAGAGUGUUAGAUCUGAGCAUUCUUAAGCACCUUCAUGCUGUGCGGAUACGAAACUGGGGUCUGUCAGUCACUGUUGAAUGUGGCAGCUUUCAGAGCAGUGACAAAGAGGUGGAAGGCUCUGUGUUUUGUUCCCAGCCUCUCUGCUCCAGGGCCAUAAAAUGUUUACAAGCCCCAGAGCUGGCUCUGGAUGCAGUGAAGUUUAGCUAGUUAUUCUUGUCACCUACCAUUAAGGCUUUGGAGACAGACAGGAGAUGGGCUGGGGCUGUCACAGGCUUUUGCUGCCUUAGGCAGGCCUUGUUAGCUUGGUGCUUGACGCAGAAUGGGGCUGUUAGAGCAUUGCUGGCUGCUGCAGCUCCUGUCUGCUCCAUCCUGUGCUGGAACCCAUCUGAUCUCCCCGUACCAGUUCACUGGCUGGAGGUUUGUCGUGUCCGCUCCUGUUCCCUAGUGUCCCUUCAGGCUUGGGAGGGACCACUUUGGAGCAGCAGGAAAGAAAAGCUCCCUGGUUGUCACUGAUGUGGGGAUGGACAGCGAGGCCGCAUCGUGGAUUCAGCUGUAAGCAGCAGGGCAGCUGGCUGCUUGUAGCCACAAUGCAUGCUUUGUGAUUUCUUAGCCUAGGUUUUUUUUUGUUUUGUUUUGCUUUGUUUUUCUCCCCAUCAGAAUGGUUCAAAACCACACAGAACUAUAUGUGAGGCUUUUCCAGAUCAAGAUGCUGAGUCCUGUGGCUGUGUUUAUCAGUGCGGUGCCAGACCCUUUCUCCCUUCACCCUGUUUUCAUCAUUUUUCCUCCUCCAUUUUUCCUUUCUUUCCUUCCUUUGCUCUCUCUCUAAUAGUGUAUUUAGUCUUUCCUUGUGUUAAUCCCUGUCUCCUUGACUUCUCUUUCCCUCUCUCACCCUCCCCAGCCAGGAUCAGCAGUUUCUGGAGCUGUACAAAAGUGACAGUUCAACCUGACCUUUUAUCAUUUGUGACUCCCUGCAGUGAAGUCCCUCUAAAUAACCCACUGGUUCUCUCCUCUCUUUCUUUCUCCUUUCUUUCCCUCUCCAUCCAUCUCCCUUCCACUGAGUGUUACUGACCUGUGGGGUGGGGAACUGCAUCCCCAGAGAGCUCCUGGCACCCACACGACCCUUACUCAGGUGGAGUGCAGGGGCAGCCCCAGAGGUGCUGGUUACUGGGCACCCUUCGUCUCACCACACUGUAUCCUUUGGGUCAGGCCACCUUUCUCCUCCAGGGCCACAUCUGCUCUGCCGUGCCUUAUGUCUGGGGGGGGGGACAAAGCAGUGGGAGAGGUGGGCAGGCAGGCCAGGCUGCAGUUUCCGAGGCUGGUCCGUGGUGCCACGAGGUCUCUCCUCACUAGAUGUCACUGUGAGGCUGGGUUUUGCCUGCCUCAGGCGACAUAGGUGCUGAGAUGGGUGCUGAGCUCUUGGAAAGGCCUGCCAGGAACAGGAUGAGAGCACAGAAGUUUCCAGGGCAAACGUUGCAUUGCUGUUGAUUUUCCCCAACCAUGGCAAGAUGCAAGAGGGCUUUUUGGAGCACAGCUCCAUAAUACCUCUUUUGAACAACCCAGCCUAUACCUGUGUGUGAAUCAGUGUGAAUCAGCCACUGUGACUUUCUCAUCUCACGCUGGUCGUGAUACAGAUUUGGCAGCAAGUCCCUAGCUCACGCUCAGCCCUGGAUUGCUGCUCACUGUCCCCAUCUGCUACCAGUCCUUCCUAUGUGCCUUGUGAGUCCCUCUCCCUGCCCUGGCUGCAGCACAACUCCCUGCAGCAAAUGGCUGUUCCCCAGCAGGGCCGCAAGAAGAGGACUGUGGCAUGUGCUUUUAUUUCUUCUUUUACUUCCUUUCUUUUUUCCUCCUUUCACUUUU